rnacentral:rRNA from 1 species
AUUCCAGCUCCAAUAGCGUAUAUUAAAGUUGUUGCAGUUAAAAAGCUCGUAGUUGGAUUUCUGGCGGGAGCGGCCUGUCCUGCCCUUUGCGGGGUUGAGCACAAGCGCUGCAUCCGGCCAUCCUUGUGGAGAGCGUUUCUGGCAUUCAGUUGUCGGACUCGGGGUCCGCAUCGUUUACUGUGAAAAAAUUAGAGUGUUUAAAGCAGGCAUUUGCUUGAAUACAUUAGCAUGGAAUAAUAAGAUAGGACUUAGUCGUUAUUUUGUUGGUCUUGCACGUCUAGGUAAUGAUUAAUAGGGAUAGUUGGGGGUAUUCAUAUUUAAUUGUCAGAGGUGAAAUUCUUGGAUUUAUGAAAGAUGAACUUAUGCGAAAGCAUUUACCAUGGAUGUUUUCAUUA